rnacentral:rRNA from 1 species
AAUGACGGCAAGUAUACAAAGAAAUUAUUAUGAAAUCACAGCUAUUUAUCAAAGGGAAUAAUUUAGUGAUAACUAUUUAUCAAAGUGAAUAACUUAGUUAUAUCCUAUAAACUCUAAGAGAAAUUAAUUAAUAAACGAAGUGAAUUGAAAUAUCUUAUUAACUUCAGGAAAAGAAAUCAAAUGAGAUUCUACGAUUAGUGUGAAUGAAAGUAGAUAAACAAGCCUAAUCUAUAUUUAUUUAUUUAUGCAAAAUUAAAUGCACGGCAUGAGUAUAUAAAACAAUAAGUAAGUAAAAUGGAGUACAUACCUAUUUGAACAUAAGGGGAACCUUCCUCUAAGGCUAAAUAUGAUAAAUAAGCGAUAGCGAACGUAAAAAGUACCGUGAGGGAAAUUGAUUGAAAUAGUAAUUUUAUAAGCAGCUCAUAUAAAGUUUAAAUAAAAUAUAGAGCGUACCUUUUGCAUAAUGGGUCAGCAAGUUAAUAUUGGAUGCAAGCGUAGAAAAUAAUUCUUAUACGGAUAUGCGAAAAAUUAUUUUUAGGCGCUGAAUCCCUAAAAAUACUUUUUUUUUAUAUGCGAAUAAUAAUUCCUAGUAUCUGCGAAGAUAAAGCAGUUAUAAUAUAAUGAUUAGUAUCCAAAAUUAGACCCGAAGCCUAGUGAUCUUACCAUGAUCAGGGUUAUAAAAGCCCGAAUGGGUUAUCGUUGUAAAGAUAUCCAAAGAAUUGUGGUAAGUUAGUGAAAGACAAAACUGACUAGGAUAGCUGGUUUUCUGCGAAACCUAUAUAAGUAGGUAAUUUAAAUUACAUCAUAGCAGGUACAGAACUGUGAUCUCAAAGAACUUGCAUAUUAUUAUUAUAAAUAAUUUAUAAAACAUUUUUUGUUUCUUUAAUAAUGUGACAUUUUACCCAUUGGGGGGGUGUUAAAACCCUAUUCGUGAGUAUUUGCACUCGAAAGGGCUAUGAUUGUGGUGAAUAAUCAGACAUAGUACGAUAAGGUUGUAUGUCUAAAGGGAAACAGCCCAGAACAAGAGUUAAUAAGGUUCCAAAAUUAUUGUUAAGUGAAAAAAAGGUAGUGUUUAUCUUAUUCGACUAGGAAAUAGGCUUGGAAGCGGCCAUUUUUUGAAGAUCUCGUAAAAGAGCACUAGUUUGUUAAAUGGAUAAUUGCAUCAAAAAUUUAACGGAUCUAAACAAUAUACCGAUACCUUGUACAUAAAUAGUUAUAUAUCUUAGUUAUAUAUAUUAUAUAUGGGGUAGCAGAACGUUGGGCAAAUAUUAGAUUAUUUCUUAUUAAGAACUAAAAUUAUAUUACCCUAGUGAUAAUGCUGACAUGAGUAACGAUAAAGGGAAUAUUCCCUCGCCUAAAGCUUAUGGUAUUCUAUUAAAGUAACGGCCUCUAAGUUUAUUAUACUUUUUCUUAAGAUAAACAGAAACAGUUGCAUAUAUUUGGCGCAAUCCCAAAUAGAUUUUAUAUUUUAGAUGUCUGGCUCAAUCCCAGAUAGACUUUAUAUUUUAAGGGUAACAACUCCUAAAGGAUUAAACGAUGAGAAAAUCUUUAUGUUUAUAUAAAUAACCUUAAGUAUUAAAAAAAAAAAUAUGAUAAAUUAUAUAAAUUAAUAAAUUGAACCAGAUGGUGUAAAUUUUAUGUACUUUAGAUAUAAUAAGAGAGAUUAUAUUAUAAAACCUUUAUUGUGCAUGUUUUUCUAUUUAUGUAUAAAAUUUUUUUUUUAUAAGUGACGAAGGUUCUGGAAAAUAUUAUAUUCAGUAACCGUACCUAGAUACUACCCCAAGUAAGUUAGUAGAGAAUACGAAGGCGUUUGAGUGAACAAUCAUUAAGGAACUCGGCAAAUUGGCUCACGUAAUUUCGAGAUAAGGAGCGCCACUACUCUUGAUUAAUAUCAGGUAAAGAGGAGGAGGCAUAGAAUGGUGUUGUACGACUGUUUAAUUAAAACAAAGCACGCUGCGAAGAUAUAAAUCAAUGUAUUGAGUGUGAGCUCUGCCCGAUGCGGGCUGGUUAUCGGAUUUGCUUAGUUGACUUAUAUAAGCUAGGCUUUGAAGGAACCCCCUGUUAAUGGCGGCCUUAGCUAUAAGGGUCCUAAGGUAGCGGAAUACCCUGGCCGUUAAAUGCGGUCUUGCAUGAAUGACAUAACGAUACAACAGCUGUCUCAAUGAUUGGCUCAGUGAAAUUGGAAUAACUGUGCAGAUACAGUUUACCUCUAGAUAGACGAGAAGACCCUAUGCAGCUUUACUGUUGCUAGUUAUUGGGUAUGAUAUAAUAAUUCUUUUUAGCGAAUAAGGUAAUUGAUCAGAUUUAAUUGAAACACCUUUACUUAUUUAUCAUAUUAGAUCACCGGUUAUACAUGGUACAGGAAAACAUAUUGUGUAUAAUGUCAUGUGUUGAUCUCUAACCACAAAAAAAAUUUUUAUUUUUUAUAACAUGGAAAAUAAGAUAGGUGGAACAAUUGCUAGGUGGCGGUUUAUGCGGGGCACAGAUCCCAUAAAAAGUACCUGGGAAGUUUAACGGCAAAAUCUUGCUUUACUGAUUGACUCACACGUCUUUCAGUCGCGUAAGCGGGGCAUAUGAUCACAAGACGCUGAAUGGAAAGGUUUUGGAUUUUUGAAAAAGCUACGCUAGGGAUAACAGGCUAAUUGCGCAAGAGAGUUCAAAUUGAGUGCGCAGUUUGGCACCUCGAUGUCGGCUUAGCUUAUCCACAUGAAUGUAGGAAUCAUGAAGGGUUGGACUGUUCGUCCAUUAAAAAGCUACACGAGCUGGGUUAAAUACGUCGUGAGACAGUAUGGUUUCUAUCUUCUAGAGGAAAUUAGAGUAAAAUAAGAAUAGCCCCUUCGUACGAAAGGAGUUGGGUAUGUUAACCUAUGGUUUACCUGUUGUUUGUGUACCUAAUAUUAAUGCAAAAAGUAAAGUUUUUGUAUAGCUACAUUUUAUUUGUUUGCAAAGGUAGUUACUAUUCACUAUAGUAAAAUUUAGCACAGGCACGGCAGGAAAGCUAAGUUAAUUAAUGAUAAGUACUGAAAGCAUAUAGGUACGAAACUUAAUUUAAGAUACUCUUAUAUAAACGUAAUUUAACAUUACGAAUUUACAUUUAAGUUAACUUAUUUGUAUAUUAGGUUAAAUAUUAAUAGGCUUUAGUUGGAAGACUUUUAAUUUUUUGAGGCAUAAAGUACUAAUUUUUAUUUU